rnacentral:rRNA from 1 species
GACGAACGCUGGCGGCGUGCUUAACACAUGCAAGUCGAGCGAGAAACCUUCGGGUUUCUAGCGGCGGACGGGUGAGUAACACGUGGGUAACCUGCCUCAAAGGGGGGGAUAGCCUUCCGAAAGGAAGAUUAAUACCGCAUAAUAUUACAGUUUCGCAUGAAGCAGUAAUUAAAGGAGUAAUCCGCUUUGAGAUGGACCCGCGGCGCAUUAGCUAGUUGGAGAGGUAACGGCUCACCAAGGCAACGAUGCGUAGCCGACCUGAGAGGGUGAUCGGCCACAUUGGAACUGAGGCACGGUCCAGACUCCUACGGGAGGCAGCAGUGGGGAAUAUUGCACAAUGGGCGAAAGCCUGAUGCAGCAGCGCCGCGUGAGUGAUGAAGGUCUUCGGAUUGUAAAGCUCUGUCUUUUGGGACGAUAAUGACGGUACCAAAGGAGGAAGCCACGGCUAACUACGUGCCAGCCGCCGCCGUAA